rnacentral:rRNA from 1 species
UACGUAGGGGGCAAGCGUUGUCCGGAUUUAUUGGGCGUAAAGAGCGUGUAGGCGGCCAUGCAGGUCCGCUGUGAAAACUGGAGGCUUAACCUCCAGACGUCGGUGGAAACCGCAUGGCUAGAGUCCGGAAGAGGAGAGUGGAAUUCCCGGUGUAGCGGUGAAAUGCGCAGAUAUCGGGAAGAACACCCGUGGCGAAGGCGGCUCUCUGGGACGGUAC